GAGAUCCGGCCGCUGCACUCCAGCCUGGGCGACAGAGCGAGACUCCGUCUCAAAAUAAAUAAAUAAUAAAUAAAAUAAAAUAAAAUAAAAAAAUAAAGUAAAAACAACGUUAUGAGGAAAUGGUGGAAAUGCAACCACAGAUGGAACAGCUACUCAGAAAGCGUUUUUUCAGAAAAAGCAUUCUGGAUACGAAUCAGCGUGCAGAGAUGGAGUCUUGCACUGUUGCCCAGGCUGGAGUAUAGUCAUGCAGAUGCUAACCAGGUAGGGAUACCUGUUCUGGACCCAGGAGGGCCUAGGGCACCAUCACAUGCAUCGUCAGCACCCAGGCCAGGAGAGGGGCCCAGCAGGGAACCUCCUUGAGUCCUCCCAAGAGGCUACAGGAAGCGUGCGCCUCUCUCCUGCUCACGAGGCUUCCUGUGCCAAUCACUGGAUCUGUGCAGGGGCAGGGGCUUAAGGAGGCUCCAGGUCUUGUGGGGACUGAACCUGUGGUGCCCUCUGGAGUCUGUGCUCUGCAGUGAGUGAGACGCCCCUGCUCACAGGGAGUUGCGCAGCCUGAGUGGCCUGCCUUGGUCCAAGUAGUUUGGGACCAACCUCAACCUUGGGGUUUGGUUAAAAGGACUUUAGGCCCUCCUGAGUCCCUACUAUGUGCUGGGCUCACCACAUGCCUUGCCAUAGCCCUGGGCAGGGGGCGCCCCAAGACAGGAAUGUGUACCUCUCCUGUUUAAUAGUGAGUUCCAUGCUGGUUCCUUCACCCUUCAUGCAGGCACCCACCCUAGGUGGUUCUCGGGUGUCCUGGGGGAAGAAAAUGGGGUGCCCCAGGCCAGGGGUUGACACAGUACCCCCUCCCACAUACAUCUUUCAGUGGACUGGGGAGCAUUAGAGUUCAAUGCAGCUGCCUAAGUGGAUUGAUGGAUUAUGUCGACAAAAAGAGACAAACUCUAAAAUAUUUGAAGAGAUGUAUUCUGAGCCAAAUAUGAGGGACCAUAACCCCUGACACAGCUCUCAGGACAUCCUGAGAACAUAUACCCAAGGUGGUUGGGGCGAGCUUGGUUUUACACAUUUUAGAGACAUGAGACAUCAAUCAAAUACAUUUGAGAGAUACAUUGGUUUGGUCCAGAAUGGCUUCCAGGUUAUAGGUAGAUUUAAAAUUUUUCUGAUUGGCAACUGGUUGAAAGAGUUAUUAUCAAUGGAAAGGAAUAUCGGGGUUAUGGUAAGAUGUUGUGUUGAGCAAAGUUUUCUCAUGCAGAUGAAGCCUCUAGGUAGCAGGCUUCAGAGAGAAUAGACUGUCAGUGUUUCUCAUCACACUUAAGGUCUGUGCUGCUGUAAUGCUGGAGGGGAUGAUGAGGCAUGUUGGAACCCCACUUCUCCUCAGGGCCUGAACGAGUCUUUGAGGUUAAAUUUUAGAGUGCCCUGGCCAAGGAAGAAGGCCUUUCAGAUGGCUGGAGGGCCUUAGAAGUUUAUUUUUGCUUUACAGUUGUAUGAUUUAGUUUUCACCAAACUCAACCUCCAAAAUGACCAAGAGGCUCCCAGAAGAUUCCUGCAAAUGAUCUGCAACUAACACCAGGAAUCCAGAGCGGGUGACCCACAGCAGAAGGGCGAGCUGAGAAUUCCUUACCACUCCUGGCAGAGCUCAGGUCACCUGGGGUACAGACGUGACCAGACGUUAGCCCCUGAUAUAAAAAAUCAGCAAACAAAACUCUCUGAGUCCCGCCAUUCUGUGGUUACUGCUGAAGCUUGCCUCGGGUGCCUUGUGCUUGAAGAAUAUAUUGAUCAGUACUGUGAAAUCCUCAUGGUUGUCAAGGCCUCUAAAACUAAGCUUC